rnacentral:lncRNA from 1 species
UGCAAACGCAGUCUCCUUUGCCUGGAAUGCUCUUCCCAUGUGUGUCCUUUCCAGCUCAAGUGUCAUCUGAAGGCAGGCUUCCGAUAAAAUACUUAACUGACAAAUUAAUAAUCUAAAGUGAAAAGAAAUAGAUAAAUAUUUAUAAAAAUUAGGCUCUCAGAUCAAACAGGUCAAAAUCUUGAGCUCAGAGCAAUAACGUAAGGUAUCUGUCCAGCAUAAAAAUUUUACUUUUUGGCUACACUGAGGCCAAAAGGAAAAAGCUGAGAAAAAGAGAAAAAUAAACUGCUCAAAUUCUUCCCUGCCCACAUUUGUUAAUGAAGUAAACCAGAUCAGCAAAUAGAUUUGUUACUUGUUCAAGGCUACCUGGAGAUUUCAUUUUUCUUAUACAAUUCAGCCAAUCCUAGAUAAAAUGUAAAUAUUGAAAUUUUAACCUUGAACUCACUUGAAGCUAAAAAAAAAUAAGAUGAAGGAAGUUUUUCAAAAUCAAACUGACAUGGAAACUGCUUUACCCAAAAUUUUGAUCUUCAGCCUUCAUUCAAUUACCUAUCAGGGCAAAUAAAGUUUAGCAAUGUGAACAAAUCUCAAUUUUGUUAGAAAUAUAAUUUGGAUCUCACUUUCUUUUAUACACCAGUGAGUUGGCCGGGCAUGGUGGCUCGCGCCUGUAAUCCCAGGACUUUGGGAGGCUGAGCUGGCUGGAUCACCUGAGGUCAGGAGUUUGAGACCAGCCUGCCAACAUGGUGAAACCCCAGCUCUACUAAAAAUACAAAACUUAGCUGGGCAUGGUGAUGUGCAUCUGUAAUCCCAGCUACUCCAGAGGCUGAGGCAAGAGAAUCACUUGAACCCGGGAGACGGAGGUUGCAGUAAGCUGAGAUUGUGCCACUGCACUCCAGCCUAGGCAACAGAGCGAGACUCCAUCUCAAAAACAAAAACAAAAACAAAAACAAACAAAAAAAACAAUGAGUUGUUAUACUAUCUCAUGACUCUAAUACUAAAAUGAAAGCUAUAUGAUUUUUAUUUGAGUGUGUAUAUGUGUUUAGAUGUGUUACGGAUAUGUACAUUUAUCAUGUUGUAUGCUGUGUUUACAUAGUAAAAUCUGAUGUCGUUGGUCAGAAAUCCUCUAAGGAUAAAUGAGUACUCAUAUAAAAUAUAAUAUGUAUAUAGCCAUUAGCCCAGAUACCUUUUAGUUCACAUGACUAAAGUAAACCUUUAGUAAAUAAACUGGUUUUUAAAUUACUGAUAACAUAAAAAUAAAAAUGUCUUC